CCCUUAGAUGUUCUGGGCCGCACGCGUGCUACACUGAGUGGAUCAGCGGGUCAGGUUGCGCGAAAGUGUUUCCUAAUCUUGAAAUCCGCUCGUGAUGGGGAUUGACGGUUGCAAUUUUCCGUCAUGAACGAGGAAUACCUUGUAAGCGCGGGUCAUCAUCCCGCGCUGAAUACGUCCCUGCCCUUUGUACACACCGCCCGUCGCACCUACCGAUUGGAUGGUCCGGUGAAGCCUCGGGAUUGUGGCGGUUGCCUUUAUUGGUGGCCGCCGCGAGAACUUGUCUAAACCUUAUCAUCUAGAGGAAGGUGAAGUCGUAACA
rnacentral:rRNA from 1 species